UAGUGGGGGCUGAACACCCCCAAAUCAGCUAGAUUCGUAUCUGACCAGAGGUGGUUUUCUGCAGUGGUCUCUGUCUGCUACAAAAAGAAGCAUCCUCGAGAGUUGAGAGCUACACAGCACUGUAGGAAUAAGUUUGUAGGAUGCAGUUAGGAACUGCAGUAGGUGCUCCUGUGUGAUUGUAGCUCACUGUAUAGACGCUACAGUCCUCCAGCUCACAGAGCUCCCCUGCCUCCGUCCCCUGAAUGCUAGAAUUAAAGGCAUCUCCACCACACGUGAUCCUCACUAGUCACAUUCCUGAAUGUGAAGUGUAUCUCACUAGAGAUGGAUUUCUCUAAUGACUAAUUAUGUUAAACAUCUUUUUGCAUCUUAUUUUUAUGUUUUUUAAAUAGAUGAAAAGAAAAAUUGUGUUGUAAUUCAUUUUAAUGCAUGAGCAGAAGAGUUCAACAAAGCGUACUUCAGGCUUUAGAAACUGUGUGACAGAACACAAACUCUCUGAUCCCAGGAGAGGCUGCAUGUAUCAGGUUAGCGGCACGGCCAACUGGUGAUAAAAGAUGCGCACGAAGACUCAUCCUGGCCUCUUUGUGUUGGAAUUUGUUAUUAAGCCCUCAGUCUCCGCCUGCCUCUUGCUGACAUUGUCGCCAAUUAGUUCUGUCCUUCUCCCGGUCACGGCAUCCUCCUCCCAGGUGCUCCAGCGGGGCUCUGAGGCCUACAACCUCCCGGCCACUGUGGACAAAGGCACCCUGCGGUCGGUCUUUCCGGAGCCAGGUCUGUGUAUUGAAGUGGCAGGACAGGGCCAACUGGGACACACAGACUCCAGAAAUAUCAGCAUUACAGCUAACUUGCAUAUAGUCCAAGGAGGCCCAGGCUGUGUCCCAACUGCUGGUCAAGCUCCAGCUCACGGAACGAUGGCAGAUGUUUGCAGCUUCUUUAUGGAAGUGGAUGGAGCCUUGUCUCCUGAGCACUGUCCAGAAAAAGCUGCUGUAGCACCACCAAGAUGAGGUCCAGAGGUGAAAGCCAUGUUCAGCACACUCAGAGUGCCAUUUAACCAACCUCUGUGCACGCUGGAAUGGGCCUUAGAGAGAGGCACCAGGGCUUUUCAGAUGUAGGAAUGUUACGUUGUACCAUGCACUGACUUAUCACGUCACUGAAGUCUCUCUAGGCGCUUCUAUUCUCUGUACAUCUCCCCUGCCCUGCCUCCCCGGAGGCUUCUGCUGGGUUCAUCACUUCCUGCAGGAAUGGCCUUCAUAACAGUUCCCUUCUCUGUAGGGACAUGAUUCCUUCCUUCCCUGACAUCUCUCUUUAAUAGGCCUUUUCUCUCUAUCCUGACUCAAAAGCCUAGGACAGACAAUGGCAGGUGAGGGGUCUGGGUGCGACCAGCCUGUGGUUGGGUUCAGUCCCCGGAACACAGGUUUUUCUGCCCCACUUGUGGCUCCUAGCUCGUGUCUGUGACUGGAGCUUCCCAGCUUGUGUUCCCCGUGCUGUUGGUGACUUAUUACCUGAGGUAACACUUCUCAGAGUGUGAGCAGACACAGACAGUAGCUGAGGGCUAUGCUGCAAUGGGAGCCUGGGCCAUCGAAGCCAGGUGGCCGGGACAGCAGGGCUAGGCCCCUCUGGUUUCCUUCUUGAGGGCUCAUCCAGGAGCUUAAAUAGGAAGGAGCAAAAGUUAGAAACUAGAGCUGAAUCAGGCCCAGUGCUAGGUCUGGGCUUCAAAGCCGCUAAUCUUUGAAAAGGACAGCAGUGGGUUCCAGCGCCGAGGUAGAGGACACGUCAGCCAUUCCAGGACGUGACUCUGUACUGCUAGCCUUCUCCAGAGCAGCAGCUGAGCCUUGAGAAGUUCCUGUCGUAGAGGGUCCCACUUUCCAUCCAGGAGGGGUUGUGAGGAGCUGGGAGGGGUGCCUCUGUCUGUGUGCUAAGCAGCUCUGCCUACUUACCAGGAAAUGGCUGCCCUGCAAGGUCUGUGCACAGCCCUGCAGGUGGGGCUGUGCUGGCUUGAGCCUUGCCUUCUCUUCUGAUUCUGGAUGCCUGAGCGAGGGACUUCAGAAGUCUGUGCAGAUGGCCUGAAGGAUGAGGGUUAAUUUCACCAAGUCAUGGGCACACGGAGGGAGGCCGGAGCCUGCGACUCCCGCAGCCCUGCUUCCUAGCAGGCUGCUCUGGACUGUGCAUGGGCAACUCCCUGCU